UACGUAGGAGGCGAGCGUUGUCCGGAGUUACUGGGCGUAAAGGGUGCGCAGGUGGCCGUGCGCGUGGGGAGUGAAAUCGCCUGGCUUAACUGGGCGGGGGCUUUCCAGACGGCGCGGCUUGAGCCACAGAGGGGGGCGUGGAAUUCCGGGUGGAGCGGUGAAAUGCGUAGAGAUCCGGAGGAACACCAGAGGCGAAGGCAGUGUCCUGGGGAGUACCUGACGCUCAGGUGCGAAAGCCAGGGGAGCGAACGGG
rnacentral:rRNA from 1 species